GGUAACAUGGCCGAGUGGUCUAAGGCGCUGGAAUUAGGAGGGGUAUCCACAUCCGGAAACCAACGUAAUCCAGUCCUCCGGGGCGUGAGUUCGAACCUCACUGUUAUCA